rnacentral:snRNA from 1 species
AACCUAGUGCUCGGGCUUUAUCUGUGCGCGUGAGGCUUCCCGCCGAUGCCAGAUGUUUGCUACUUGAAAACUACCUGUUUGACCUAGCUUCAUGUGGCCCUUCUGGGGCCGCGUGGGAAUAUUUGGAUACCUAUGUGUGCG